rnacentral:lncRNA from 1 species
GAGACAGAAGAGACUUUGAGAAUGGGGAUGUGAAUAGGCUUGAAGCACUGUUGGCUGAAGGACGCAUCUUUUGUGACAUGCCAGCCUUGGCAGACAGGGAAAGCAUUCUUCUACGGGAUACCUGCCUGGAGAACUCCUUGAUUUGCCAGCCACAGCAAAGGAACAUCCAUGGUCGGAUCUUUGGAGGGUUUUUAAUACGCCGUGCAUUUGAAUUGGCAUUCUCAACAGCUUAUGUCUUUGCUGGCAUGGUACCUUGCUUUCUAGAAGUUGAUCAUGUUGACUUCUUAAGGCCGGUGAGUAACUCACAUGCUUCGUCCUUUCUUUUUCAACUAAUUUGAUUUUAGAUGGAUUCACUUGCAAUGGAAAUUCUAUAACAAUGGGAGAAUAAAUUUAAAAAACAGAAACCAGUUCUUCAACUACCUUUUCUCCAUAACCAAUGCUUUCAUCCUUCAUUCAUCCCAGGUCAUUAGCAUCAUAUGCAUGUGGAACAUGAAAUUAUCCCCUUUUUCCUGCUGACCAUUUUAUUUUAUUUGUAUGUAACCUUUUGUAGAUUAAAAUUAUGUGAUUUGUCAUUCAAAAUCCAUAGUGACUCGUAAUCAAACACCAGACAAAAGAUUCAUAGUGCUAUCAUAGCUAAACACCAGUGCCAGUACAAACUAAUUGCUGAAUUAGUAUGUACUGUAAUUCCUUCACCCCAUCAUAAAUUUUACCUGAUUCAAAAUAAGUCACACUAAUAUUUUUAAGGCUGUAUGCAAUGGGCACCAAUUGAUCACGAGACAUGGGGUAUUCCCCUUUUUCUUGUAACCAUCUCUUGUUAAAUUUCAAGUAUGUUUUUGGUGGCACAGGUUGAUGUUGGAGACUUUCUGCAUUUCAAAUCCUGUGUUCUUUUCACUCAACUUGAGAACCCCGAACAGCCUCUAAUCAACAUUGAAGUUGUCGCUCAUGUUACAAGGCCGGAGCUCAGGUCUAGUGAGGUGAGAUUCUGCAGUAGAAACAACAAAUGAGCUGUUUUUACCAUUACAUUAUAUUUGUGUUCUUCGUGAUCAUGCCCAAAAAAGGAAAGUGGCCACACUUGGUUAGCACUUUCAAAUAAAGUUGAAGAUUGCAGUUUUAUGUGGGUUUAAUGUUCACAUAUUCCCUAUUUCUUUAUCUUAAUGCCUGUGCAGGUGUCCAAUACAUUCUACUUCACUUUCACUGUCCGCCCAGAGUCUAAGGCCACGAAGAAUGGAUUUAGACUUCGGAAUGUGGUUCCAGCAACAGAAGAGGAAGCACGCCGUAUUCUGGAGCGCAUGGAUGCUGAGAGUUUGUUGCUAGACAAAGAUGAAACAGGACAGUAGACAGCGAAGAGGAUGCCUUGUUGCAGAAUGUUAAUGAGUAAUAAAAUUAACACUACUUUUCUAAUAUUAUAUCAUGGGUUUCUGCUCUGCAAGCCUGGACUCAAAGUCAUGUAGAUUUAAUAACACAAUUUAGAGUACCAAAAGAGAGUAUUAGAAUUCACGGUUAUCCAGCUCCAGUUCCCCAUUCUGUUCUGGGGCCUUCAGAAGGAGAUUUGCUUAUGUCAACAGAUAUAUAGAAUGCUUGGAGGAUCAUGGCCAUGAAAUUAUCCUUUGUUUGAGAAUAAAGACGGGAUUAUUUAAUACCAGUCGUUGCCUCCUGUUUCUGGCUUGCAGCCUCUUGUGAGGUUCCCUGUAGACUUUAUUUGGUCUAACCUCUCAAACUGUGCCCAUUUGAUCAUGGGUUUCCUUGUGUGUAGUUGAAAUUCUCCAUGGUGGUUAGGUCAUAGUAAAUGGAUUUGAAUAUCUGGGUUUUCCAAGCAGACAUCCUCUUUUUGCUACAGAGAUAUUGUGUUACUGAACUAUCAAGCUUUGCAAAAGUGGGUCAUUCACCUGGAAUCCUCAAAAUAAGUUCUAAAUAGUACUGGUUGCUCUCCCCUUCUCGCUUAUGCCCAAAUCUAGGAAUAUUAGGAGGCAGGCUAGCAACGGGCACUCCAUCUAUGUCAUACUAAGUAGUCUGACCCUCUGCAACUCUCAUAGGUCUCAUCCUCUGCUCCAACCUCUCCAUGCGAGCCUCUUGUUCAACCAUGCGGGCGUCGUCUAUAACAGGGAGAGGUACAAGUGGCAUCUGAACAGGCGACGCUACCUCAAUCUAAUUAUGUAGAGUGAAUGGUGUGGUAUGUUGUGUCUGUUGAAUGGGAGGAACUACCGGGUCUGAAGAUAUGGGAUCCUGAGAAGUUAGUCUCUAUACACCUUAGCUCUGAUCUAGUCUCUAUACAAUCUCAUGUUGGGUUGUUAUAAGUUCUUAUUGACUACAAAUGUGUUCCAUUUUGGUUCAUGUAGAUUUUAUGUAAUUAUAAUAACGUCUUAUUCAUAUUAAGAGAAAAGAAAAAACUAACAUUGGAGACAGAUUACAAAUUAAGCUUUUAAAGUAAAACCUUAAUCUAUGUUUACAAAUUCAAACCAUCUCAGCCCUUUUGAUAAGCAUCUUAGAGAGAAAAAUAAAACAAAAUCAAAAUAAACUACACAAUGAUAUAUGAAAGUUUUGUCAAAUUAAGUUGGCUUUGCAUGAAAUGAUAACAAUAACUAAGAUAAAAGUAUAUAUUGUUAUAACUGAAGUAAUGAAUGUCAUUACAUUAAUUAUAAUAAAUAUUAAUUAAGUAUUAUUUAUGACUUCCAUUAAUACUCAUUAAUGGAAACCAUUAAUGUUAUUUAUGAGUUUCAUUAAUAUUCAUUAAUGGGAAUAUUAAUGAAAGUCAUUUGGAUAUAAUAUGGUUUCCCAUCAUUUAAUAAUAUGUAUCCCCUAAGCAAGAAAAAAAUUUCUUACUUUCUUUCAUUCUCUCAACUUUCUCAACUCUCUUCUUUAAUUCUUUCUUUCCAUUAUACAUAUUGUUGAAGUAAUAUAUGGCUACUACUUUGAUUUGCGAGUUGCGUUUAUCCUUGUUUUACAAUAUAUAUAGCUUGAGGGCAUUAUUUUAUGUCCGUUUUGAAGCAUCAUUUGUUAGGGUUUUGCUCCAAAUUAGGGCUUUUAUUAUUAUUUUCUUUUAGAAAUAGACAAAAUACUGAGCGGGUGAAAACUGAAGGGCAAUGCGAAGAGAGCUCCCACAUUUAUGGAAAUAAAAAAAACCAACUUUAUUUAUAGUCCAACAUAUAAUGCAGAAGGAAAAGAGAGCCCCAAAAAAGAAAAGUAACUACACCCCACCAAAGAAAAGGACCCUAACUACACUCUGAAAGAUCCAAGAAGCUGGUUGACUCUCAUCAUCAAUUCUCAAUUCUCCACUAUCGUCAUUGCCAACAAGGGAGAAGGGAGAAGGGAGAAGGGAGAAGAAAUUGUCCAUGGCUUCCAACUUCACCGCUCCAAUUCCGGUGGUUGGAACAGUGGCAUCUCCAUUUGAGACAGAAGAGGGCGAUGCCCAAAACCCACAGCCUCCACCCUCAAGAAAACCUCUGAGUCUGUGGCCAGGCAUGUACCACUCCCCAGUCACAGCCGCUCUCUGGGAGACCAGGUCCAGGAUCUUCGAAACCCUUCUCGACCCACCUCUCCACGCGCCUCCCCAAACCCAACUCCUCACCAAAACCCCCUCCUACAGCCGCACCUCCAUCCUCUACAACUUCUCCUCCGACAAAAUCCUCAGGGAGCAGUACAGAGACCCUUGGAAUGAGGUCAGAAUAGGGAAGUUGCUUGAAGACCUCGAUGCCCUUGCUGGCACCAUUUCUGUUAAGGUAUCCUCCCUCCUCUCUUUUCUUUACUUCCUACCUUUCUUUCUGACUUUCUGGCUCACUUCUUUUGUUUCUUUGUUUGUUGAAACUUGAAAUUAGCACUGUUCUGAUGAUGAUACCACCACCAGGCCCCUCUUGCUUGUCACUGCUUCUGUGGACAGGAUGGUGCUCAAGAAGCCCAUCAGCGUCAACCUUGAUCUCGAAAUUUCCGGCGCUGUCAUCUGGGUUGGCCGCUCUUCCAUUGAAGUUCAGCUUGAAGUCACUCAAUCUACAAAUGGUAUUUUGAUUCCCACCUAAUCCCUUUUUAUCAUUUACCUCUAUUUGUGCUUGGAUGGUUUUUUUGACAAACGUUGUAGCUUUUCAUCUACUCAUUUUCAUCAUUUUUAGCUCAUGAAUGAAGUUGUUCUCUGCACAAUCAAGCUUUUAUAAUACCUAUAUUAUGCUUUUGAAAUCAUAAUUUUAGUUUCAGAUUCAUGUUCUUACUAAAAGUAAAAGCAGAGAACAGUCCUAUGCCAGUUCUAGCUCGGCCAUAAAAAAAUUUAUAGACAGAUUGAUGGCACAUGGUAAAAAGGGUUCAACAUUUUGCUUCAUUUUCAAGAUGGUACAACCCUAAUUAUUCAGGGUAUAUUCAAUAGUGGUGAUAAAGUAAUGGUCUCUUAGUGUUUGCUGUUGAUUUCAAUCCAUACAGAGCCCAUGCAUUUGGUUGAAGUAUGUGAGCAUAGCUCUAUUCUCAGUUUUAACCUCUUUCUGCAGAGAGCUCCAAUACUUCAGACUCAGUGGCUCUUACGGCCGACUUCAUAUUUGUGGCCCGUGACUAUAAGACAAACAAAGCUGCCCCAGUGAACCGGCUGUCACCAGAAACAGAACAAGAGAAGUUGCUUUUUGAAGAAGCAGAAGCAAGGAAUAAUCUCAGAAAAAGGAAGAGGGGAGGAGAGAGAAGAGACUUUAAGAAUGGGGAAGUAAAUAGGCUUGAAGCACUGUUGGCUGAAGGACGCAUCUUUUGUGACAUGCCAGCCUUGGCAGACAGGGAGAGCAUUCUUCUACGGCAUACCUGCCUGGAGAACUCCUUAAUUUGCCAGCCACAGCAAAGGAACAUCCAUGGUCGGAUCUUUGGAGGGUUUUUAAUGCACCGUGCAUUUGAAUUGGCAUUCUCAACAGCUUAUGCCUUUGCUGGC